rnacentral:lncRNA from 1 species
UCUGCUUAACCACCAACUCUAAAUCUUUUCUUUGCGUCUGCCUGCUUCUAAAGCAUUGGCCCUGUAGCCUUUUUACUUACUCUCAUCAAGGGUUCACGUUACAGUCACUCAAGAAUCGAUCUCCCCGAUUCAGAUGCUUUCUCCAAUAGGUUUUGUACUGUGGGAUUCCCAGCUCUAGCCACGGCUUCAUGUUCCCAUUGUAGUGCAGAGUGGCUGCGUUUUUUAUCGUUUGGGUAUUGAUGUAGUAGUCAUAACCAAGCCCUGAUAGAGCCCAUUUGUCGUCAAGAGCAUAAACUUUGUCUUGAAACGUGAGCAAACUUGCUUGCAAUGCAAUUGCUUCUCUCGACUCACCUCCACCACUCAUCUGCUGCGCAUAGAAUAGAAAGCCAUCGCUCAGAAACAUACAAAAUCACCUAGCAAGAUCUAUUCUAGGUUUUUCAGAAACUGACCUGUUUGUAAAAUUUCUGGUAUGUUUCUGAAACUCCCAGUUCCCUCCAUCUAGCAAGAUCAAUGACAUUCAAUCCAGACAUCCAGAGACAAGCGUUAGCAUCAAAACUCCCUCCCUUGAGACUCUUUAGCUGACCCAAUCUCACAGAGCACUCUUUCACUGCACCAUUCACUUUUCCUUCCAUAUCAAGCUCCCAAAGAGGAGACAAGUCUCGCUGGACUACAACGUCAUGAUCCAGAAUCACAACUUUUUUCAACUUGUGAAAUAUCUUUGGGAAGAGGUAGUGAGAUUGAGAGAACAGGGAUAAGUAAUGUGUUCGUUUCCCUUGUGAUGCCAAAUUGUCGCCGCUGAGGAAGGAGACACGGAACUCCGCAGGCAAAGAGAGCUUCACAUCAGAAUUGUCCAGCUCGAGCUUUUCAAUGUUCAAUACUUGAAUAGCUGCUUGUUUGCAGGGAUUCCUGAUAAACCAUUGUUUCAUCGCAAAGUAAUUCUGCUCGUUUGUCAAUACAUGGAAAACAAAGUUUUUACUUUCCUGAAACAUCAACAACCAACCAAGAGUUAGAUAUAAAGGUUCUAUGACUGCAUCAAAAAAUAGAAACACAAAGUAAAGGAAACUGGAUUUAAUACAUUACCCUUGCGUGUAAAACAGUUGAGUUGAUAACAACGGAAGAUGCAAGUAUAUUGUCGGAGAUGACAACAAAGUGAAGCAAUGAGGGAUCUGAAAAUUUCUCACUAUCCUCAGUAUCAACUGAACCUGACUUGAAAUACUCCACAGUUAGUCUCAUUGACAAGCAAUGAAGACUCUUGGGCAUUGUAUGUACUGCAAGCUGGUAGAGGAACACGCUCUGUUUCAUGUGGAAACUAGCUUCAUCCUCGGUCAUGUCCAGGAUCUGUCUCAGUUUCUUGUCAACAUUGUUACAGUCGACUGGAAAAGACUUUGCCUUUGAAAUUACAGCUUCCAUCUUCUCAAAAUUUUUAUCAACCCUGGCAGAUCAGUGGAAUGAUGAAUAAGUCGAUUAUAGGAAAUAAACAGAUGAUUCUAUACAGAAAACCUUCACCCCAAAGAGAACAAACAGCAUCCUCUCCUAUCAUCUAGUGGAUUAGUUUAUUGAUUCUUACUUCUUAGGCUGGUUUAAGAUAUUUGCACAGACAAGGCUUUAAAAUAAGAGUAUUUUUGGGUGUGUGAUGCACAUUGAAAAAAUGAAGAGAGAAAAUUAUGACUGGGAGAGUUUAAACCACUAGAAAACAGGACGCCCAGACAGGAACUAACUAGGAGAGUUUAAUUUGACUAAAUCCGACUCUACGGGACUAACUAUCCGUACAAACAUGCUUAAAUCUUAACUGGUAAAGAACUUACUGUGGUGGAAGAUCAGCAUCUGCUGAACUUACAAUAAGAAUACGCUCAAACUCUUGGAUAUUCUGUUUCAUAUCUCGAGUCAACUUGCUUUGAGAAGGCAUUUUAGCAAUACUUGGAUAGUAUGCCCUAGCCACAAAUAGGAGGUCCUUCAUGUGCUUCACCUUGGCAUCUUUCAUGGGCUCCUUAUUUUCCUCCCUCCAGAGGCAGUAGCUCCCAUAUUCCACUUGACAAGUUCUCUGAGUUUCAACAGCAUUUACCAUUGCCCCCUGACCACCUUUGUGCGAUACUUCGGUUAUUGUUUUCUGUUCACAGAAUACACCAGAAUAAGGACGAUUUGUGAGAGACACAAAAGACUAUUACAGAAACCAUUUGUACAUUUGCAGGGCUCGGUUGGGCAACAACAGCUGGGGACACUGGUAAUCCUGCAGAUUAAUUGAGGACAAGGCGUAAAGUUGCGGAUCAAAAUCAAAAUAAAAUACUGGGAGAGGAAUUUCAAGAAAGUGGAACUUGUAAAGUAAACCUCUGUUUUUAGAAUCACUGAUGCUUGUCCUAUUCAUAUCUCUGGAACCAGCGUUAAUGUCGGUUUUCUAGCAUGUCAAACAAGAAAAAAGCGUUAGUAUAAAAACUGUUACAAGCGCAUCUCAACCAAAGAAUCAAUUCUUCACCUUGCCCAACACACGUUGAGAUAUAUAAAGCAACAUAAUUCAUGAAUGUAUUUCAGCUUUCCAGUCGCAUGAGAAAACCACUCAUUCAUCUAAUUUUGUAUCCCUUUAAGCAACAUCACACAAAAGAAUGCAAGAUACAACAAGUGACUGACUAACUACAGCCUCUUCUGCUCUAGUUUAUUUGCUGGGCCAAAAAAAAAAGUUUUUAAGAUUCACUAUUUAACUAGUGGCAUCUUGCAUAAGGUUCCAUAAGUCAAACAGAGAGUUUACUUUUUUCUUUUUAAUAUUAGCAUUCUUCAAUACCAAGAUGGGAAACAUUAAUGCCAAGAACCACGACUGAAUACAUUCUUUUUUCAAUGGUGAAAAAUUCAACAUACAUAAACCAGAUCUGAACUGAACUGAGUGUGUCAAAACUUGAGAGCAGAGGGUAAGACGAAGAAGGGUUCCAACCAUUAUGGAGAUCUAAUUCUCCAGGUAUAGGAAAAGAUGUAAGCUUUUAUAAAAAGAAAAGAACUAAUCUAAUGCUACAACACAGAAAUCGAACAAGUCAAAUGCCUUCACUCUACACUGAAAGAAUGACAAGAUUGGAAACAUUAACGCCAAGAACUAUGACUGAACUCAUUCUUCAACGUUGGAAAAUCGAACAUAUACAGACCAGAUCUGAACUGAACUGAGUGUGAGCAGUAGGUAAGACAAUGAAGGGUUCCAACCAUUAUAAAGAUCUAAUCUUUUUUUUUUGUUAAAAGUUAAAACAACAACAACUAACCUAUACUAUAACACAUAAAUGGAAACAAGUCGAUGCCUUUGAAACAAGUGGAAGGACUAACCUUGGGAAGCACUGGAUUGAUUUUCUGGAGAACCUGAUCCACUCUGUUAGAUAGAUCUCUCUGUAAAAUCGAGGAAGGGAGAUCGAGAACCAGCAUACGAAUUAAAUCGAAAUAAAUGAAACGAAAGUUUAACAGUACCUGUGAAUGGUUAGUAGCAUUGGUUCUGCUUCUCUCGAACUGAUUUUUCAAAGAAAGAGCGUCAGAACAUUUACUAAACCACAUAAAGAAACCAAUUAAAGAAACGUAAUAAUGCUUACAGGAGAAGAAGGCUGGACAGUGACGAUUCCUGGAGAAAGAUAAAGUGGAGAUGAGAAUAGAUCUGAAAGAGAGAUCGAAGCGUGAAGGACAAGAAAGUACCUGGAGAGUGAAAGCUGUUGUGAAGGCCGAGCAAGAAAGCAAGAGGAACCAGCAUUGAGAGGAUAACGAGAACCAACACUCCAAUCACCAGAACUUUCCACCGGCGUUUUCCUCCUCCUCCACCACCACCACCGACUCCUCCGCCUUUCAUAUUUCCGAUUUAGAUUGAAUCAGUGCCUUUCGCAUUGGAUCUCAACAACGUCGGCGACGAUGUUUCUCGCCACGAGUACACUCACUCAAUCCACACUCUCUUUACUCGAUGCCAAUGUCUCUCUCCCCCCUCGCUUCACACACACACACACACUCACUCUCUCUAGCUUUCUCGCUCUUACUAGGUGCUGCACUAGUUAGCCCGAUCGCAUCGUCCCUUUACUUUUUUGCUAAUUCGGAAGAGAGAUGAGAUACACACUCUAUUUCGCACGUGUGUUUCUUUUUCCGCCGUUCGAUUGAUUAUUCAGCCCACUUGCAAGAUCUGUCUCCUGAUCAUAACACGUGUCUUUCUUCACACGGUGGUUACUUAUUUUCAUUUUUUUUUUUUAAUUUUUUUAUAGUCUCCCCGACAAAACCAAUACUCCCGGAUGCCUAGCUUUAUUCGUCACCGUCAACGCCAUUGACGCAGAUGCACUUGGUGACGGUGGAGAUGAGCUGAGACGAUCAAAUUACCGAAAGAUCGAAGCUUUUAUCCAAUUAUUACUGUCAAAAUGCGUUUGUUUAAGCUUCUGGUAUGUACGUUUUUUUACAUUGGUCGUGUAAUGUUUAUUUCCUUCUGUUUCAUGUGAUGCAGUGACUGUUCGAGCAUGUUAUUAGUCGCGACGAAAGCUUUGGCCUUUGCGCAUAACAAGGCUGUUCAUUUGACAACAAGGGAAGUGCAUUUCUUAAGCUCCAUUCUAGCUAGUGUCUCCUCCCCUCGUGUCUCUUGAGUGACUUGCCUGAAAGUUGGGCUCUUGACACUGACACGUCAUCCUCUCUUCUCUUUGGUAACUCUCUCCCUUCUUGUUUGUUCCAUAAUGGCUUUGGUGAUUAGAAGAAGCAACAUCGUUGGUCUGACAAUCUCCUUAUUACUGCAGGUAUUGUUGUAGGGGUCUUAUGCUUGAGCAUUUUGGUUGAGUAUUAACUGUGCCUUUAUGUUUCUAUGCUGACAUUCGUGGGCAAAGGUAUGACGCUACAGUAAGCACACGGUGCAUGCCUUUUCAAAGGACAUUACCAGGGAGGAUGAGAUUGUGGUUGCACUCGCGGGUGUACCUAAUCUUGUUCGUGGAAGUUGGCUGAAGCCUUGAGCAGUUGUCAUUGAUGUAGGACUCAUACGUUCCAGUAAAUAAAGACUCAUACAAGAGCAUGACAACCAUUAUGAUACAGAGAACCUUAGGUUAGAGAUCAAAUGAAAGGACCAAACUGUUUUUUCUUAGGUUUGUUUUGUUGUUUCUGGUUAGACAUUGAAGCAUGUAGUAUGAUAAGCGUCUUGUUGGGGAUGUAUGUUACGAGGAAGCUUUAGGUGUUGCCUCAGCGAUCACUCCUGUGCCUGGAGGAGUCGGACCCAUGACGGAUGGGUCCAUCUGAUAAAUGGUAUCUAUCUCUGUCAUGUCACUAAAUUUUGUUUAAACAAGGGGUUGAUGACAAAUUCACAAAUCCCUUUUUAACUUGAAUUAUCAUGUUGUUGCAUGCUAUGGUCUCUGAUAUAAGGCUCUUCUAUUUAUCAUAUACUCAUGAAUAUCAAGGUCAACAUAACCGCACCGAGGAGAGUUUAAUGCUUUGUUGUUGUAGUUCCUGGUUUCUAGAUACAGUCCAAUGUUUUUUUGUUUCAUUGACUCUUUACAAGAUGGGGAGUCAUAUAACGCAUGUGAAAGACGACGUUAGUUGGCCAAUUAUACAGAAAAUAAACUAAUUGUAACUUCUUUAUUUUUUGCAAGUUCAUUUACCAGCAACAAUACCAGUGGAAGUAUGGCGCGUUUCAUAUGCCACUGAUUCUUUUUUCUUUCCACUGGAAUAAAAAUAAAGAAGUUACAAUUAGUUUAUUUGGUGCACUGAGAAAUAGAUAAAAAUUCUCAUCACUUUCUAUCAAGUCAAACGCAACAAAAGUAAAAACUGACACAUGAACAAUGGGAAAAUAUAACACGAGGAAAAGAAUUGGCACACACCUCUGCCAAAAAUCAUAUACAACAUCAAAGUUUUCUUCACAUACUCUUUUUUUUUAAUCAAAGCUGAUUUUAAAUCAUCUUGAUUAAGUCUCUUAAAAAUCAAUUUGCUAUCAAUUUUAAAACCCACUUCUGCUUGCACUCUUCCCUUCAGCAUUUCUCACUGCAAUGCAUUCGGGUUUAUUUACCCCCACCAAAAAUGAGAUGUCUGCUUAACCACCAACUCUAAAUCUUUUCUUUGCGUCUGCCUGCUUCUAAAGCAUUGGCCCUGUAGCCUUUUUACUUACUCUCAUCAAGGGUUCACGUUACAGUCACUCAAGAAUCGAUCUCCCCGAUUCAGAUGCUUUCUCCAAUAGGUUUUGUACUGUGGGAUUCCCAGCUCUAGCCACGGCUUCAUGUUCCCAUUGUAGUGCAGAGUGGCUGCGUUUUUUAUCGUUUGGGUAUUGAUGUAGUAGUCAUAACCAAGCCCUGAUAGAGCCCAUUUGUCGUCAAGAGCAUAAACUUUG